GGGAACUAAAAAUGGGGAGAUAUUGGUGUUUGAUCUCAAUAGAGCUAACUUAUUGCAAGCCUUAAAAGACAUAUCCCAAGGUUAUGAACAUCUCCUGCGAAGCGAACUUACACCUGCAAAUCUAGUAUUUCUACCAUUGAAUGCCUUAAGACAAAUAGAGGGUCAGAGAGAGCUGGCAUUGGAAAA